rnacentral:rRNA from 1 species
UACGAAGGGUCCAAGCGUUGUUCGGAAUCAUUGGGCGUAAAGCGCGCGCAGGCGGAUCAGUAAGUCAGAUGUGAAAUCUCAGGGCUCAACCCUGAAACUGCGUCUGAAACUACUAGUCUAGAGUGUCGGAGGGGGUAGGGGAAUUUCACGUGUAGGGGUAAAAUCCGUAGAGAUGUGAAGGAACACCGGAGGCGAAGGCGCCUGCCUGGACGACUACUGGACGCUGAGGCGCGAAAGCGUGGGGAGCAAACAGG